GAUGAACGCUGGCGGCGUGCCUAAUACAUGCAAGUCGAGCGAACAGACUAGGAACUUGCUGCUCUGCGGUUAGCUGCGGACGGAUGAUUAACACUUUGAUAGCCUACCUCUAUUACUGAGGUAACUUCGUAACACCGGAGCUAAUAGCGGAUAAUAUAUUGAACCACAUGGUUCCAUGGGUAAAGACGGUUUUUCUGUCGCUUAUAGAUCGAUCCGCGCUGCAUUAGCUAGUUGGUAAGGUAACGUGUUACCAAGGACACGAUGCGUAGCCGACCUGAGAGAGUGACCGGACACACUGGAACUGAGACACGGUCCAGACUCCGACGGGAGGAAGCAGCAGGGAAUUUCCCGAAAUAGGAGUAAGGAUGACGGAGCAACGCGGGGUAGGCGAUGAGGGCAUGCGGAUCGGAAAAAUCUGGUACUAGGGAAGAAAAACCGUGUAAGUAACGGAGCAAGUAUUGACGGUACCUAACCAGAAAGCCACGGCUAACUACGUG
rnacentral:rRNA from 1 species